UUCCUUACUGGGAGGGUCUUGAUUUUGUUUCAUUCCUGUUUCUUCUCCGACUCAAUCCACUGGUGAACCCUAAUUGGGUGAGGAGAGAAGACAUCUCCAGGACAAGUAUGAAAUGCUGUUUGAGGAGUGGAAAGACAGAGACCCUUGUCUCUGAUGAUAAAUCUGCAUCGCUGAAAUAAAUGGAAUGAAGCCGCCCCACCUUCCUCCAUCCAAGAUGAAGUAGAGAACCCAGCUGGCUGAAUCCGGCACUGAACACUACUUAUCACAGGCUGGCAUAGAAAGUCUGAAGAAACAGUGCUACUUGCUGGGCUCCAAUCGUACUGAAAGAGAGGUUUAAAAUGCGGUUCAAAAGAAAAUCCCGCUUCCAUCUACUGUGUGACCUUGGGCAAGUAAGUCAUCUGACCUCUCUGACCCUUUGUUUCCCCAUCUAUUAAAUGGGGUGAUAAUUCUGAGAUUAUAAGAUUGUUACGAGAAGUGUAUCAAUAACACCAGCAAAAUACCUGGCCAUGGUAAAGUCUGAAGAAAUGGAAAUUAAUUAAACAAGGGGUGACUUCUGUCUUCAACUUAGCC